UUGUACAUGGUAGGCUUUC
rnacentral:miRNA from 1 species